rnacentral:rRNA from 1 species
CCUACGGGAGGCAGCAGUGAGGAAUAUUGGUCAAUGGGCGCGAGCCUGAACCAGCCAAGUAGCAUGAAGGAUGACUGCCCUACGGGUUGUAAACUUCUUUUAUAAAGGAAUAAAGUGAGGCACGUGUGCCUUUUUGUAUGUACUUUAUGAAUAAGGAUCGGCUAACUCCGUGCCAGCAGCCGCGGUAAUACGGAGGAUCCGAGCGUUAUCCGGAUUUAUUGGGUUUAAAGGGAGCGUAGGUGGGUUGUUAAGUUAGUUGUGAAAGUUUGCGGCUCAACCGUAAAAUUGCAAUUGAUACUGUCAGUCUUGAGUACAGUUGAGGUAGGCGGAAUGCGUGGUGUAGCGGUGAAAUGCUUAGAGAUCACGAAGAACUCCGAUUGCGAAGGCAGCUUACUAAACUGCCACUGACAUUGAUGCUCGAAAGUGUGGGUAGCAAACAGGAUUAGAUACCCUAGUAGUC